UACGUAGGGUGCAAGCGUUGUCCGGAAUUAUUGGGCGUAAAGAGCUCGUAGGCGGUUUGUCGCGUCGGUUGUGAAAACCCAAGGCUCAACCUUGGGCCUGCAAUCGAUACGGGCAGACUAGAGUACUGCAGGGGAGACUGGAAUUCCUGGUGUAGCGGUGGAAUGCGCAGAUAUCAGGAGGAACACCGAUUGCGAAGGCAGCUCGCUGGGACGUUACUGACGCUGAGACGCGAAAGCGUGGGGAGCAAACAGG
rnacentral:rRNA from 1 species